rnacentral:rRNA from 1 species
UACGUAGGGGGCAAGCGUUGUCCGGAAUCAUUGGGCGUAAAGCGCGUGUAGGCGGGUCGGUAAGUCCGCUCUGAAAGCCCGGGGCUCAACCCCGGGAGGCGGGUGGAUACUGUCGACCUCGAGUCCGGAAGAGGCGAGUGGAAUUCCUGGUGUAGCGGUGAAAUGCGCAGAUAUCAGGAGGAACACCAAUGGCGAAGGCAGCUCGCUGGGACGGUACUGACGCUGAGGCGCGAAAGCGUGGGGAGCGAACAGG